CGGACGGGUGAGUAAUGCUUGGGAAUCUAGCUUAUGGGGGGGGAUAACUACGGGAAACUGUAGCUAAUACCGCGUAGAAUCGGGAGAUGAAAGUGUGGGACCUUCGGGCCACAUGCCAUAGGAUGAGCCCAAGUGGGAUUAGGUAGUUGGUGAGGUAAAGGCUCACCAAGCCGACGAUCUCUAGCUGGUCUGAGAGGAUGACCAGCCACACUGGGACUGAGACACGGCCCAG
rnacentral:rRNA from 1 species